rnacentral:rRNA from 1 species
AACGAACGCUGGCGGCGUGCCUAACACAUGCAAGUCGAACGUGAAAGGGGGCAACCCCCGGUGGCGUGGCAGACGGGUGAGUAACACGUGGGUAACCUACCCGGAGGUGGGGGAUAACCCUUCGAAAGGAGGGCUAAUACCGCAUGACAUCGCGAGGAUCUCGGUCUUCGCGAUCAAAGCUGGCCUCUGUUUACAAGCUAGCGCCACCGGAGGGGCCCUCGCCCCAGUAGCUAGUUGGGGAGGUAACGGCUCACCAAGGCGACGAUGGGUAGCCGGCCUGAGAGGGCGACCGGCCACACUGGAACUGCGACACGGUCCAGACUCCUACGGGAGGCAGCAGUGAGGAAUCUUGCGCAAUGGGCGAAAGCCCGACGCAGCGACGCCGCGUGGAGGAUGAGGGUCUUCGGAUUGUAGACUCCUGUCGAGUGGGACGAAUGCCACGAGGGUGAACAACCUUCGUGGUUGACGGUACCGCUGGAGGAAGCCCCGGCUAACUCCGUGCCAGCAGCCGCCGUAACAC